GACGAACGCUGGCGGCGUGCCUAAUACAUGCAAGUCGAACGAACUCUGGUAUUUGAUUGGUGCUUGCAUCAUGAUUUACAAUUUGAGUGAGUGGCGAACUGGUGAGUAACACGUGGGAAACCUGCCCAGAAGCGGGGGAUAACACCUGGAAACAGAUGCUAAUACCGCAUAACAACUUGGACCGCAUGGUCCGAGCUUGAAAGAUGGCUUUCGGCUAU
rnacentral:rRNA from 1 species